GAACAGUUGAGUGAACUCACUUCAGAUGCAUGUAGAUUAUUUGCACUCCAGAAUGUAGACUGUGGGCACUCCAGAGACUACCAGAAUUGGGGGAACCACAGUGACUCAUUAGGUUUCUCUGUUACAAUCAGAGCCUCCCGAGAAGCCAUCUGCCUUCGAGCCUGCCAUUGAAAUGCAAAAGUCUGUUCCAAAUAAAGCCUUGGAAUUGAAGAAUGAACAAACAUUGAGAGCAGAUGAGAUACUCCCAUCAGAAUCCAAACAAAAGGACUAUGAAGAAAGUUCUUGGGAUUCUGAGAGUCUCUGUGAGACUGUUUCACAGAAGGAUGUGUGUUUACCCAAGGCUACGCAUCAAAAAGAAAUAGAUAAAAUAAAUGGAAAAUUAGAAGAGUCUCCUGAUAAUGAUGGUUUUCUGAAGGCUCCCUGCAGAAUGAAAGUUUC
rnacentral:lncRNA from 1 species